rnacentral:rRNA from 1 species
GGGUUGUGAGGUUAAGCGACUAAGCGUACACGGUGGAUGCCCUGGCAGUCAGAGGCGAUGAAGGACGUGCUAAUCUGCGAUAAGCGUCGGUAAGGUGAUAUGAACCGUUAUAACCGGCGAUUUCCGAAUGGGGAAACCCAGUGUGAUUCGUCACACUAUCAUUAACUGAAUCCAUAGGUUAAUGAGGCGAACCGGGGGAACUGAAACAUCUAAGUACCCCGAGGAAAAGAAAUCAACCGAGAUUCCCCCAGUAGCGGCGAGCGAACGGGGAGGAGCCCAGAGCCUGAAUCAGUGUGUGUGUUAGUGGAAGCGUCUGGAAAGGCGCGCGAUACAGGGUGACAGCCCCGUACACAAAAAUGCACAUGCUGUGAGCUCGAUGAGUAGGGCGGGACACGUGGUAUCCUGUCUGAAUAUGGGGGGACCAUCCUCCAAGGCUAAAUACUCCUGACUGACCGAUAGUGAACCAGUACCGUGAGGGAAAGGCGAAAAGAACCCCGGCGAGGGGAGUGAAAAAGAACCUGAAACCGUGUACGUACAAGCAGUGGGAGCACGCUUAGGCGUGUGACUGCGUACCUUUUGUAUAAUGGGUCAGCGACUUAUAUUCUGUAGCAAGGUUAACCGAAUAGGGGAGCCGAAGGGAAACCGAGUCUUAACUGGGCGUUAAGUUGCAGGGUAUAGACCCGAAACCCGGUGAUCUAGCCAUGGGCAGGUUGAAGGUUGGGUAACACUAACUGGAGGACCGAACCGACUAAUGUUGAAAAAUUAGCGGAUGACUUGUGGCUGGGGGUGAAAGGCCAAUCAAACCGGGAGAUAGCUGGUUCUCCCCGAAAGCUAUUUAGGUAGCGCCUCGUGAAUUCAUCUCCGGGGGUAGAGCACUGUUUCGGCAAGGGGGUCAUCCCGACUUACCAACCCGAUGCAAACUGCGAAUACCGGAGAAUGUUAUCACGGGAGACACACGGCGGGUGCUAACGUCCGUCGUGAAGAGGGAAACAACCCAGACCGCCAGCUAAGGUCCCAAAGUCAUGGUUAAGUGGGAAACGAUGUGGGAAGGCCCAGACAGCCAGGAUGUUGGCUUAGAAGCAGCCAUCAUUUAAAGAAAGCGUAAUAGCUCACUGGUCGAGUCGGCCUGCGCGGAAGAUGUAACGGGGCUAAACCAUGCACCGAAGCUGCGGCAGCGACGCUGAUGCGUUGUUGGGUAGGGGAGCGUUCUGUAAGCCUGCGAAGGUGUGCUGUGAGGCAUGCUGGAGGUAUCAGAAGUGCGAAUGCUGACAUAAGUAACGAUAAAGCGGGUGAAAAGCCCGCUCGCCGGAAGACCAAGGGUUCCUGUCCAACGUUAAUCGGGGCAGGGUGAGUCGACCCCUAAGGCGAGGCCGAAAGGCGUAGUCGAUGGGAAACAGGUUAAUAUUCCUGUACUUGGUGUUACUGCGAAGGGGGGACGGAGAAGGCUAUGUUGGCCGGGCGACGGUUGUCCCGGUUUAAGCGUGUAGGCUGGUUUUCCAGGCAAAUCCGGAAAAUCAAGGCUGAGGCGUGAUGACGAGGCACUACGGUGCUGAAGCAACAAAUGCCCUGCUUCCAGGAAAAGCCUCUAAGCAUCAGGUAACAUCAAAUCGUACCCCAAACCGACACAGGUGGUCAGGUAGAGAAUACCAAGGCGCUUGAGAGAACUCGGGUGAAGGAACUAGGCAAAAUGGUGCCGUAACUUCGGGAGAAGGCACGCUGAUAUGUAGGUGAAGCGACUUGCUCGUGGAGCUGAAAUCAGUCGAAGAUACCAGCUGGCUGCAACUGUUUAUUAAAAACACAGCACUGUGCAAACACGAAAGUGGACGUAUACGGUGUGACGCCUGCCCGGUGCCGGAAGGUUAAUUGAUGGGGUCAGCGCAAGCGAAGCUCUUGAUCGAAGCCCCGGUAAACGGCGGCCGUAACUAUAACGGUCCUAAGGUAGCGAAAUUCCUUGUCGGGUAAGUUCCGACCUGCACGAAUGGCGUAAUGAUGGCCAGGCUGUCUCCACCCGAGACUCAGUGAAAUUGAACUCGCUGUGAAGAUGCAGUGUACCCGCGGCAAGACGGAAAGACCCCGUGAACCUUUACUAUAGCUUGACACUGAACAUUGAGCCUUGAUGUGUAGGAUAGGUGGGAGGCUUUGAAGUGUGGACGCCAGUCUGCAUGGAGCCGACCUUGAAAUACCACCCUUUAAUGUUUGAUGUUCUAACGUUGACCCGUGAUCCGGGUUGCGGACAGUGUCUGGUGGGUAGUUUGACUGGGGCGGUCUCCUCCUAAAGAGUAACGGAGGAGCACGAAGGUUGGCUAAUCCUGGUCGGACAUCAGGAGGUUAGUGCAAUGGCAUAAGCCAGCUUGACUGCGAGCGUGACGGCGCGAGCAGGUGCGAAAGCAGGUCAUAGUGAUCCGGUGGUUCUGAAUGGAAGGGCCAUCGCUCAACGGAUAAAAGGUACUCCGGGGAUAACAGGCUGAUACCGCCCAAGAGUUCAUAUCGACGGCGGUGUUUGGCACCUCGAUGUCGGCUCAUCACAUCCUGGGGCUGAAGUAGGUCCCAAGGGUAUGGCUGUUCGCCAUUUAAAGUGGUACGCGAGCUGGGUUUAGAACGUCGUGAGACAGUUCGGUCCCUAUCUGCCGUGGGCGCUGGAGAACUGAGGGGGGCUGCUCCUAGUACGAGAGGACCGGAGUGGACGCAUCACUGGUGUUCGGGUUGUCAUGCCAAUGGCACUGCCCGGUAGCUAAAUGCGGAAGAGAUAAGUGCUGAAAGCAUCUAAGCACGAAACUUGCCCCGAGAUGAGUUCUCCCUGACUCCUUGAGAGUCCUGAAGGAACGUUGAAGACGACGACGUUGAUAGGCCGGGUGUGUAAGCGCAGCGAUGCGUUGAGCUAACCGGUACUAAUGAACCGUGA